GCCCGCCUAGCUCAAUCGGUAGAGCGUCAGACUCUUAAUCUGAAGGCUGUGGGUUCGACCCCCACGGUGGGCU
rnacentral:tRNA from 1 species